UACGGCCACUUCACAUUGAAACACCAGUUUCUGUAAAAUCACUAAAGUUAAGCAAUGUUUAGUCUGGUCAGUACCUAGAUGGGUGACUGCCUGUGAAUACCAGGUGCUGUCAG